ACGAGUUUUAAAUUGUUUAGGUUAGAGUUGAGCUGGUUAUCUAAUUAAUAUGUGCUUACUAUCAUCGAGACAAGAGUCCACUCAUUACUUAACACUUGUGAACUUAUUUCAUUACAAAACAUUUAUAUUUGCUUAUUGGAACGUUUUGAUUAUUAAAAAGUUAAUAC
rnacentral:misc_RNA from 1 species